rnacentral:antisense_RNA from 8 species
AGUCAUAACUGCUAUUCUCCAGGAAUAGUGAUUGUGAUUAGCGAUGCGGGUGUGUUGGCGCACAUCCGCACCGCGCU